rnacentral:hammerhead_ribozyme from 1 species
UCAUAAGUCUGGGCUUAGCCUACUGAUGAGUCGCUGCGAUGCGACGAAACUUAUGA